UUAAGCGACUAAGCGUACACGGUGGAUGCCCUGGCAGUCAGAGGCGAUGAAGGACGUGCUAAUCUGCGAUAAGCGUCGGUAAGGUGAUAUGAACCGUUAUAACCGGCGAUUUCCGAAUGGGGAAACCCAGUGUGAUUCGUCACACUAUCAUUAACUGAAUCCAUAGGUUAAUGAGGCGAACCGGGGGAACUGAAACAUCUAAGUACCCCGAGGAAAAGAAAUCAACCGAGAUUCCCCCAGUAGCGGCGAGCGAACGGGGAGCAGCCCAGAGCCUGAAUCAGUGUGUGUGUUAGUGGAAGCGUCUGGAAAGGCGCGCGAUACAGGGUGACAGCCCCGUACACAAAAAUGCACAUGCUGUGAGCUCGAUGAGUAGGGCGGGACACGUGGUAUCCUGUCUGAAUAUGGGGGGACCAUCCUCCAAGGCUAAAUACUCCUGACUGACCGAUAGUGAACCAGUACCGUGAGGGAAAGGCGAAAAGAACCCCGGCGAGGGGAGUGAAAAAGAACCUGAAACCGUGUACGUACAAGCAGUGGGAGCCUCUUUAUGGGGUGACUGCGUACCUUUUGUAUAAUGGGUCAGCGACUUAUAUUCUGUAGCAAGGUUAACCGAAUAGGGGAGCCGAAGGGAAACCGAGUCUUAACUGGGCGUUAAGUUGCAGGGUAUAGACCCGAAACCCGGUGAUCUAGCCAUGGGCAGGUUGAAGGUUGGGUAACACUAACUGGAGGACCGAACCGACUAAUGUUGAAAAAUUAGCGGAUGACUUGUGGCUGGGGGUGAAAGGCCAAUCAAACCGGGAGAUAGCUGGUUCUCCCCGAAAGCUAUUUAGGUAGCGCCUCGUGAAUUCAUCUCCGGGGGUAGAGCACUGUUUCGGCAAGGGGGUCAUCCCGACUUACCAACCCGAUGCAAACUGCGAAUACCGGAGAAUGUUAUCACGGGAGACACACGGCGGGUGCUAACGUCCGUCGUGAAGAGGGAAACAACCCAGACCGCCAGCUAAGGUCCCAAAGUCAUGGUUAAGUGGGAAACGAUGUGGGAAGGCCCAGACAGCCAGGAUGUUGGCUUAGAAGCAGCCAUCAUUUAAAGAAAGCGUAAUAGCUCACUGGUCGAGUCGGCCUGCGCGGAAGAUGUAACGGGGCUAAACCAUGCACCGAAGCUGCGGCAGCGACGCUUAUGCGUUGUUGGGUAGGGGAGCGUUCUGUAAGCCUGUGAAGGUGUGCUGUGAGGCAUGCUGGAGGUAUCAGAAGUGCGAAUGCUGACAUAAGUAACGAUAAAGCGGGUGAAAAGCCCGCUCGCCGGAAGACCAAGGGUUCCUGUCCAACGUUAAUCGGGGCAGGGUGAGUCGACCCCUAAGGCGAGGCCGAAAGGCGUAGUCGAUGGGAAACAGGUUAAUAUUCCUGUACUUGGUGUUACUGCGAAGGGGGGACGGAGAAGGCUAUGUUGGCCGGGCGACGGUUGUCCCGGUUUAAGCGUGUAGGCUGGUUUUCCAGGCAAAUCCGGAAAAUCAAGGCUGAGGCGUGAUGACGAGGCACUACGGUGCUGAAGCAACAAAUGCCCUGCUUCCAGGAAAAGCCUCUAAGCAUCAGGUAACAUCAAAUCGUACCCCAAACCGACACAGGUGGUCAGGUAGAGAAUACCAAGGCGCUUGAGAGAACUCGGGUGAAGGAACUAGGCAAAAUGGUGCCGUAACUUCGGGAGAAGGCACGCUGAUAUGUAGGUGAGGUCCCUCGCGGAUGGAGCUGAAAUCAGUCGAAGAUACCAGCUGGCUGCAACUGUUUAUUAAAAACACAGCACUGUGCAAACACGAAAGUGGACGUAUACGGUGUGACGCCUGCCCGGUGCCGGAAGGUUAAUUGAUGGGGUUAGCGGUAACGCGAAGCUCUUGAUCGAAGCCCCGGUAAACGGCGGCCGUAACUAUAACGGUCCUAAGGUAGCGAAAUUCCUUGUCGGGUAAGUUCCGACCUGCACGAAUGGCGUAAUGAUGGCCAGGCUGUCUCCACCCGAGACUCAGUGAAAUUGAACUCGCUGUGAAGAUGCAGUGUACCCGCGGCAAGACGGAAAGACCCCGUGAACCUUUACUAUAGCUUGACACUGAACAUUGAGCCUUGAUGUGUAGGAUAGGUGGGAGGCUUUGAAGUGUGGACGCCAGUCUGCAUGGAGCCGACCUUGAAAUACCACCCUUUAAUGUUUGAUGUUCUAACGUUGACCCGUAAUCCGGGUUGCGGACAGUGUCUGGUGGGUAGUUUGACUGGGGCGGUCUCCUCCUAAAGAGUAACGGAGGAGCACGAAGGUUGGCUAAUCCUGGUCGGACAUCAGGAGGUUAGUGCAAUGGCAUAAGCCAGCUUGACUGCGAGCGUGACGGCGCGAGCAGGUGCGAAAGCAGGUCAUAGUGAUCCGGUGGUUCUGAAUGGAAGGGCCAUCGCUCAACGGAUAAAAGGUACUCCGGGGAUAACAGGCUGAUACCGCCCAAGAGUUCAUAUCGACGGCGGUGUUUGGCACCUCGAUGUCGGCUCAUCACAUCCUGGGGCUGAAGUAGGUCCCAAGGGUAUGGCUGUUCGCCAUUUAAAGUGGUACGCGAGCUGGGUUUAGAACGUCGUGAGACAGUUCGGUCCCUAUCUGCCGUGGGCGCUGGAGAACUGAGGGGGGCUGCUCCUAGUACGAGAGGACCGGAGUGGACGCAUCACUGGUGUUCGGGUUGUCAUGCCAAUGGCACUGCCCGGUAGCUAAAUGCGGAAGAGAUAAGUGCUGAAAGCAUCUAAGCACGAAACUUGCCCCGAGAUGAGUUCUCCCUGAC
rnacentral:rRNA from 1 species